ensembl:lncRNA
AUCACCAGACUCAAGACUUAAAGCUGCAACAAGGAGUAGAGAGGGGCAAGGAAAAGACAUCAAUCAAUGUAACAAGGCAGACUGGAGCAGAGUCAAAAAUACAGUUAACCAACUAAAAAUAUUAAUUUUAUAAAUACAGAGAUUGGUACCUUAUUCAGCCAUCACCAGAGAAGCUUCCUCCUGCAGCAGACGGGAGCAAAUACAGAGGCCGGCAGCCAGACAAUGUGCAGAGUGAGAGAGGAUCCAGUCCCUCCCCUCAGAGCUCAGGAAUCCCUGAGGAAGAGGAGGCAGGUAUAAAAGCCAGAGGGGAUGGAAGACACCAAAAGAACAAGGCCCUCUGACUAACUGAGCAGGGCUCACAUGAACCUGCAGGGACUGCAGCAGCCAGCACAGAGAACGCGGGUCUGCACCAGGUCCUCUGUGUGUACUACAGCCCAGCUCCGUGCUUUUAUACGACUCCCGAGUGCCUGAACAACUGGGGUUCUGAUUCUCACACCUGCUCUUGGGGCUCUUUUCCUUCUGUUGGUUUGCCUUACCCAAUUUAUGUGUGAUGGGUUUGUUUUAUAUUGUUAUUGUUGUUGUUAUUAUAUCAUUACUAUUUUGUUAUGCCUGGUGUCUCUUAGAAACUUGUUUCUUUCUAAUGAGAGACAGCAAGGGAGUGGAUCCAGAGGUGAGGGGAGGUGGGAAGAACUGGGAAGACAGAAUCAUGGGUAACUGUAAUCAAGAUAUAUUGUAUGAAAAAAGAAUAUUUUCAAUAAACAAAAACAUAAAUGUUGAAACUUUCAUUCUGUCAAAGACAUUAAGAGAACUAGAAAGAGGAACAGGACUGGGAGAACAUAUGUGCAAAUUACAUAGUGAUAAAGGUCAAGCAUCCAAGUCAGACAAUGUACACAAACAAGUUCAUUGAAAAUGCUAUUGUCUUUGUUGUAAAAAGUAAACGUGAUAAUUAGAAUAUUUUUAAGUAAAAACACUUGAGCAAGUAGAAGUAGAGACUGGGUGUAAUGUCUACAAUGCCAGCACUCAGAGGCAGAGGCAGGGAGAUUGCAAGUUCAACACAGCAAGAACUUG